GAAUAUUGGACAAUGGGGGCAACCCUGAUCCAGCCAUGCCGCGUGUGUGAAGAAGGCCUUUUGGUUGUAAAGCCCUUUUGGCAGGGAAGAAAAGGCUCUGGCUAAUACCUGGAGCUGCUGACGGUACCUGCAGAAUAAGCACCGGCUAACUCCGUGCCCGCAGCCGCGGUAAUACGUAGGGUGCAAUCGUUAAUCGGAAUUACUGGGCGUAAAGCGUGCGCAGGCGGUUCGGCAAGAAGGAUGUGAAAUCCCAGGGCUUAACCUUGGAACUGCAUUCUUAACUGCCGGGCUAGAGUAUGUCAGAGGGGGGUAGAAUUCCGCGUGUAGCAGUGAAACGCGUAGAGAUGCGGAGGAAUACCGAUGGCGAAGGCAGCCCCCUGGGAUAAUACUGACGCUCAUGCACGAAAGCGUGGGGAGCAAAC
rnacentral:rRNA from 1 species